CCCCUCCUGUCUCCCUCCUACCCCCUGUCCCCCUCCUAACCCCUCUGUCCCCCUCCUUUCCCCCGGUGUGGAGGAUGAGUUGGGCCUGGCUCUGGAGCUCAGCAAGAGAGACCAACUGCCCCCUAGUCACACCCUCACAGACGCCCAGGCAACACCUUCAAGCAGGCAGAGAGGGCGUUACCUGUGGAGCUCCAGACCCAUCCACACCGACCCGGCUCCGGCCCCCGGUCUAUGGCCCAGCGCUCCUUCAGCUCAGCCCCCUACUUCCACUACCUGACGUCCCCAGGGAGGAAGAGAUGAUGAUGAAGAUCUCCAGAUGGCCCUGGCCUACAGCCUGUCUGAGAUGGAGGCCACAGAGAGCGUCUGCUUCAGCACCAGACGUCAUCUCAUGUGCUGGGGUGUGGUGAUGGUAGAGGUUGGGGGUGAGGCGGGGGUUGGGGUGGGGGAGAGUGUCCUAGACCUUGGCCCAGGCCAGUCAACAGCACCAAAGAAGAGGUCAGGGGCAGGGGACAUGCACCACACAGCAGCCCCUCUCCACUGGACCAAAGGGGGCCUCCUCAACCACCUCCAGGAGCAGGGAGCCACUGAGGAGCCGGCUGCUAAAACCACCAGCAGCACCACUGUGAAAAAUAAAAAACUCACACUUCCAGGCCUUCACGGGCUGAUCUGAUUGUCCGUUGCCCGUCUGACCCCUGACCUCUGAGCCUGAGGUCAAAGGUCAAAUCUCCCAAUGGUGCACCUUGUCUCUCAGCGCGCCCCUUUCAGCUUACUGUUGUCUCUCAGCCCACCCCCCUCUGGCGUACUGUACCAGCUGAUCAACACUUUUCAAAGUUUUAUUUGAAAAAGAAAAGUAAACUGACAAAAACAAAUGUAUGUACUUUGUAUGUGUGAGUGUGUGUGUGUAUAUAGCUAAAUUAAAUAAAGACUCUUUGUAAAGUAUUUUCAACCAUAAGUAACUCAUCCACAUUAAAUAAUUAGCAUUUUAACGUGUCUUAUAAGAGAAGUGUCCUGGAAAGCAUUUUAAACCAUGACUACAUGUUUCAAUACCAUGGGAAUGUAUGAUAAUAAAGUUAUCUAUAUACGAAUUGAAAGCUGAUCAAUUUGCCACACACCUUGAAUGUUAGCCUGGUUGUACCAGACUGAAACUUUACACCGAGCACCCCCUCACAUCAACCAAAAAAACAACAACAGGUGAAUGUAUUACGUAUGAAAACACAUGGUUAUUUCUCCAUUUCCAGUUACAUCUGGUCUCCCAUUCAGGGACCAACCAGGACCAACCCUGCUUAGCUUCAGAGGUAAACCAACAGUGGGAUGCAAGGUGCUAUGUUGCUGAAGUGAAUGUGCCAAAACUUGCAACUGGAGAAAAGGCAGCGUAAGCAAAGACCAGGGUAACAUUACCCAAGACCAGGGUAACAUUACCCAAGACCAGGCUAACAUUACCCAAGACCAGGGCAACAUUACCCAAGACCAAGGUAACAUUACCCAAGACCAGGGUAAC
rnacentral:lncRNA from 1 species